UACGUAGGGUGCGAGCGUUAAUCGGAAUUACUGGGCGUAAAGCGUGCGCAGGCGGUUUUGUAAGCCAGAUGUGAAAUCCCCGGGCUUAACCUGGGAAUGGCAUUUGGGACUGCAAGGCUGGAGUGCGGCAGAGGAGACUGGAAUUCCUGGUGUAGCAGUGAAAUGCGCAGAUAUCAGGAGGAACACCGGUGGCGAAGGCGGGUCUCUGGGCCAUAACUGACGCUGAGGAGCGAAAGCGUGGGGAGCGAACAGG
rnacentral:rRNA from 1 species